rnacentral:lncRNA from 1 species
UACACAUUCACUACAUGCAUGGCCACAAUCUGCAAAGAGAACCCUUUUCUUUCGUUUCCGGAUUUUGAGACAUUUUCUCAUCUGAAAUUUGCAGGGGAGUGGAUACAGUCCAAGCAAUGAAAAGAGGAGCAAUGUGGAUGUGGAUGAUUACGAUCCUAUUGAUCCAGUUCCAAGCUCCAAAGCAUCCAUAAAACCUGGUCCUAUUGAGCAUGGUACUCCUCUUAUUCCCUACAUCCCAAAACCCUCACCUCCAGAUCAUCCCAAAAUUGGUGGUUCCACUUAGCCAUCCAAAAAAAUCUUCUGAAGAACAUGCCAAUGUAAUAUCUGUAUCGUACCUCAUGUUUUAACCAGCUUUGUUCUCUGAAUCCCGUCUAUUCAAUAACUUCAAGUUGCC